UGAGAAGAUCCGGCGAAAAACUCAGUGG
rnacentral:sRNA from 1 species